UUUAAAUUAACCAUUUUUAUCCUCAUCGUUAAUGAAGGGUAAAAGACAUUUAUAACUUUUUGAUUACCUUUGACAAAAAAAAAAAAACAUAUGGUUAACUAAUCUAAACUUAAAAGAUCAACUUUAAACCCUAAAUCAUCAACUUUAAACCCUAAACCAUGAAACAUCAACUCUAAACCUUAAACCCCGAAACAUCAACUCUAAACCCUAAAACUUCAAAUCUAAACCCUAAAACAUCAACUCUAAACCUUAAACGUAAGCCCUAAACCCUAAAUCUAAACUUAAAACAUCAACUUUAAACCCUAAAUCAUCAACUCUAAACCCUAAACCAUGAAACAUCAACUCAAACCCUAAACCCUGAAACAUCAACUCUAAACCCUAAACCUUCAAAUCAAAACCCUAAAACAUCAACUCUAAACCCUAAACGUAAAUCCUGAACCCUAAACCUUAUAUUUUUCUGAAAUUCGAACCCUAAACCCUAAACCUUCAAAUCUAAACCCUAAAAUAUCAACUCUAAACCCUAAACGUAAACCCUAAACCCUAAAUCUUCAAAUCUAAAUCGUAAAACAUCAACUCUAGGGUUUUAGGGUUUAGGAUUUAGGGUUUAGGGUUUAGAGUUGAAGGUUUCGGUUUUAGGGUUUAAAGUUGAUGUUUUAGGGUUUAUGGUUAAUUUUUUAGGGUUUAGGGUUUAGAGUUUACUUUUUAGGGUUUAGGGUUUAGGGUUUAGUGUUGAUAGUUUAUGGUUUAGUGUUGAUGGUUUAGGGUUUAGAGUUGAAGUUUAGGGUGUAGGGUUUAGAGUUGAUGUUUUAGGGUUUAGAGUUAAAGGUUUAGGGUUUAGAGUUAAAGGUUUAGGGUUUAGGGUUUAGAGUUGAUGUUUUAGGGUUUAGAGUUGAAGGUUUAGGGUUUAGGGUUUAGAGUUGAUGUUUCGGGGUUUAGAGAUUAGAGUUGAUGUUUCAUGGUUUAGGGUUUAUUUCAAAAAAAAAAUAGGGUUUAGGAUAGAUGGUUUAGGGUUUAGGGUUCGUAUUUCAAAAACAUAGGGUUUAGGAUUGAUGGUUUUGGUUUAGAGUUGAGUUUUAGGGUUUAGGGUUUGAAUUUCGAAAUAGUAUAAUUCAGAAAAAAAUUAAAAAAUUA
rnacentral:lncRNA from 1 species